rnacentral:rRNA from 2 species
UACGGAGGGUGCAAGCGUUAUCCGGAUUCACUGGGUUUAAAGGGUGCGUAGGUGGGCAAGUAAGUCAGUGGUGAAAUCUUUGGGCUUAACCCGAAAACUGCCGUUGAUACUAUUUGUCUUGAAUGUAGUGGAGGUGAGCGGAAUAUGUCAUGUAGCGGUGAAAUGCUUAGAUAUGACAUAGAACACCGAUUGUGAAGACAGCUCGCUACACUAUUAUUGACACUGAGGCACGAAAGCGUGGGGAUCAAACAGG